rnacentral:rRNA from 1 species
AUUGAACGCUGGCGGCAUGCCUUACACAUGCAAGUCGAACGGCAGCAUGGAGAGCUUGCUCUCUGAUGGCGAGUGGCGAACGGGUGAGUAAAGCAUCGGAACGUACCGUGUAGUGGGGGAUAACGUAGCGAAAGUUACGCUAAUACCGCAUACGCACUGAGGUGGAAAGCAGGGGAUCGUAAGACCUUGCGCUAUACGAGCGGCCGAUGUCAGAUUAGCUAGUUGGUAGGGUAAAGGCCAACCAAGGCGACGAUCUGUAGCGGGUCUGAGAGGAUGAUCCGCCACACUGGGACUGAGACGCGGCCCAGAUUACUACGGGAGGCAGCAGUGGGGAAUUUUGGACAAUGGGGGCAACCCUGAUCCAGCCAUGCCGCGUGAGUGAAGAAGGCCUUCGGGUUGUAAAGCUCUUUCGGCCGGGAAGAAAUCGCACAGGCUAAUACCCUGUGUGGAUGACGGUACCGGCAUAAGAAGCACCGGCUAACUACGUGCCAGCAGCCGCCGUAA